AUAUAUAGGAGUUUGAGUUCUGUGGUAAGUUCAUGUUUAAUUUUAUAUAAGAAAUUUCUAGAUUGUUUUCCAGUGUGGUUGUAUCAUUUUACUUUCUCAGUAGCAACAUAUGAGAAUUUCAGUUACCCCACAUCAUGGCCAGUACUUGAUCUUGUCUGUCUCUUCCUUCCUUCCUUCCAUGGCCUGAUCAGACUCAGAUAUGUGAUACUAGUUGCAAUUAUGACCUACCCCACAACUACAGCAGCAGGGCCAGAUCCCUUAACCCACUGUGCUGGCCAGGGAUCCAGCCUGCAUCCUGGCACUGCAGAGACAUUGCUGAUCCCAUUGUGCAUGGCAGGAACUCCUCUUUCUUUUUGUUGGACUUGUCUCUCAUAUUAUGGAGUUGCUCUGAUGGAUACACAUGUAUUUUCUCAUUAUAACCAUCCGGAGAGAUAACACAGGCAUACCUCAGAGAUAUUGCAGGUUUGGUUCCAGGCCACCACAAUCAAGUAUCGCAAUAAAGUGAAUAUCGAAAUAAAGUGAGUCACAAUUUUUUCUGUUUUCCAGCACAUGUAAAAGUUAUGUUUAUACUGUAGUUUGUUAAGUAUAACAUGAAUAAAAAUACAGUGUAUGUGCCUUAAUUUAAAAAUGCUUCAUUGCUAAAAAAUGCUAACCGUGGUCUGUGCCUUCAAUGAAUUAUAAUAUUUCUGCUGGAGAGGGCCUUCUCGAUAUUUGAGGGCUGCUGACUGAUCAGAAUGGUGGAAGGCUGGUGUGGCCAUGGUAAUUUCUUAAAAUAAGACAACAGUGAAAUUUGUCACAUCAGUUGAUUCUUUCUUUCAUGUACGAUUUCCCUACAGCAGGCAAAGGCUGUUAGAUAACAUUUUACCUAUAGUAGAAUUUCUUUCAAAAUUUGAGUCGGUCUUCUCAAACUCUCCUGCUUCUUUAUUAACUAAGUUUAUGUCAUAUUAUAAAUCCUUUGUUGUUGUUUCAACAAUCUUCACAGCUUGUUCAUCAAGAGCAGAUUCUGUCUCAAGAAACUACUUGCUUUGCUCAUCCAUAAGAAGCAGUUCUUCAUUCAUUCAAGUUUUCCCAUGAGAUUGCAUGCAAUUCAGUCACAUCUUCAGGCUGCAUUUCUAAUUCUAGUUCUCUUGCUAUUUCCAGCCCAUCUGCAGGUCAUCCUUCCACUGAAGUUUUUUGUUUGUUUUUUUUUUGUUUGUUUGUUUGUUUUGUUUUUGCAUGUAUAUUUUCUUUUUUAAAAUUGUUAUUUCUCCUUUACAAAUUUUUUUUUUCCUCGCCCAAGAGUGGGACUGCUGGAUCAUAUGGUAGUUCUAUAUAUAUAUAGAUUUCUUUCUUUUGUUUUUUUUUGUCUUUUUGCCAUUUCUUGGGCUCCUGCGGCAUAUGGAGGUUCCCGGGCUAGGGG
rnacentral:lncRNA from 1 species